UCCUGGGCACUGGGGAGAGCUGUAGCAGCCGCAUGCUCCACUGCAGCAGAUGCUGCCCAGAGGACUGCUCCCAGACCACCCAAGCCUGCCUGCCGGGAACUCAGGGUGACCUGAAAGGAACUCAAGGCACUGUACAUAAGACCAAACUCCUCCAUUUGCUCAUAUCUUCACAACAACCCUGUGAGGUUUGUCUGCCACCGCCCUCGUGCCCUCCCACCUGGAAGGCAGCAAGACGUUCUGCAUGGAGCUGCCUGGAAGACAACUUGGAGGCUCCGAUUACUGCAGAAUCUUGCCUGGUUUGUGCAUGUGACACCAUCUUGAAAGGGGCUUCAUUGGCUGCUUGCUUGCUUGCUUCCACAUCCAAUUCAAAGUGCUGGUGCUUCCUGCUAAAAUCCUAAACGGCUUGGGACUCACCCCCACCCAUACCAACACCAGACAUUUUGCUGCCGCAUUCCCUCAUCCUUUACAUACACACACACACCUGUCAAGGUUCAGAGGAUCUGAGCCUAACCACAUCAUUUUGACACCAAUAAUGUUUGUAUUAUAUGUGUAUCCCAUCUUUUCUCCCUGGAGGCCAAGGGACCACAUAUGUUCUUUUAACUCUAUAUUCUGCUGUGAGGCAGGUGAGGCUGAGAGUCAGGGGCAAGGUGAA